AUUUUCCAAAAUUACCUAGGAAUAUACAAUAGAUGUAUUUUUCCGUCAAAGCUGGAAGGAUGAAAGGUUAAAAUUUAAAGGACCCAUGACAGUCCUCCGGUUAAAUAACCUAAUGGCAAGUAAAAUCUGGACUCCGGACACAUUUUUCCACAAUGGAAAGAAGUCAGUGGCCCACAACAUGACCAUGCCCAACAAACUCCUGCGGAUCACAGAGGAUGGCACCUUGCUGUACACCAUGAGGCUGACAGUGAGAGCUGAAUGUCCGAUGCAUUUGGAGGACUUCCCUAUGGAUGCCCAUGCUUGCCCACUAAAAUUUGGAAGUUAUGCUUAUACAAGAGCAGAAGUUGUUUAUGAAUGGACCAGAGAGCCAGCACGCUCAGUGGUUGUAGCAGAAGAUGGAUCACGUCUGAACCAGUAUGACCUUCUUGGACAAACAGUAGACUCUGGAAUUGUCCAGUCAAGUACAGGAGAAUAUGUUGUUAUGACCACUCAUUUCCACUUGAAGAGAAAGAUUGGCUACUUUGUUAUUCAGACGUACCUGCCAUGCAUAAUGACAGUGAUUCUCUCACAAG
rnacentral:sRNA from 1 species